rnacentral:rRNA from 1 species
GACGAACGCUGGCGGCGUGCUUAACACAUGCAAGUCGAACGGUGAAGCGCCUUCCUUUUUGGUGGGUGUGGAUGAGUGGCGAACGGGUGAGUAACACGUGAGUAACCGCCCCCUUCUUCUGGAUAACCGCAUGAAAGUGUGGCUAAUACGGGAUAUUCUGGGUCUGUCGCAUGAUGGGUCUGGGAAAGAUAUUGUUUCGGUGGGGGAUGGGCUCGCGGCCUAUCAGCUUGUUGGUGGGGUGAUGGCCUACCAAGGCGUUGACGGGUAGCCGGCCUGAGAGGGUGGACGGUCACACUGGGACUGAGACACGGCCCAGACUCCUACGGGAGGCAGCAGGGGGGAAUAUUGCACAAUGGGCGCAAGCCUGAUGCAGCGACGCCGCGUGAGGGAUGGAGGCCUUCGGGUUGUGAACCUCUUUCGCCAGUGAAGCAGGCCUGCCUCGUUUGUGGGUGGGUUGACGGUAGCUGGAUAAGAAGCGCCGGCUAACUACGUG